rnacentral:rRNA from 1 species
AUUGAACGCUGGCGGCAGGCCUAACACAUGCAAGUCGAGCGGUAGCGGGAAGAGCUUGCUCUUUGCCGACGAGCGGCGGACGGGUGCGUAACACGUAGGAAUCUGCCCGGUAGUGGGGGAUAGCCCGGAGGAAAUCCGGAUUAAUAACCGCAUACGCCCUAAGGGGGAAAGCAGGGGAUCUUCGGACCUUGUCGCUAUCGGAUGAGCCUGCGUCGGAUUAGCUUGUUGGUGGGGUAAAGGCCUACCAAGGCGACGAUCCGUAGCUGGUCUGAGAGGAUGAUCAGCCACACUGGGACUGAGACACGGCCCAGACUCCUACGGGAGG